rnacentral:rRNA from 1 species
GACGAACGCUGGCGGCGUGCUUAACACAUGCAAGUCGAACGGAAAGGCCCUGCUUUUGUGGGGUGCUCGAGUGGCGAACGGGUGAGUAACACGUGAGUAACCUGCCCUUGACUUUGGGAUAACUUCAGGAAACUGGGGCUAAUACCGGAUAGGAGCUCCUGCUGCAUGGUGGGGGUUGGAAAGUUUCGGCGGUUGGGGAUGGACUCGCGGCUUAUCAGCUUGUUGGUGGGGUAGUGGCUUACCAAGGCUUUGACGGGUAGCCGGCCUGAGAGGGUGACCGGCGACAGUGGGAAUGAGGUACGGGACAGACUCCUGCGGGAGGCAGAAGGGGGGAAUAGUGAACAAUGGGCUGAAGCCGGACGCAGCGACGCCGAGUGCGGGAUGACGGCCGUCGGGAUGGAAAACGCUUUCGCCUGUGACGAAGCGUGAGUGACGGUAAGGGGUAGAGAAGCACGGGCUAAGUACGUG